GAACGGGUGAGUAACACGUGGGUAACCUGCCCAUCAGAAGGGGAUAACACUUGGAAACAGGUGCUAAUACCGUAUAACAAUCGAAACCGCAUGGUUUUGAUUUGAAAGGCGCUUUCGGGUGUCGCUGAUGGAUGGACCCGCGGUGCAUUAGCUAGUUGGUGAGGUAACGGCUCACCAAGGCGACGAUGCAUAGCCGACCUGAGAGGGUGAUCGGCCACAUUGGGACUGAGACACGGCCCAAACUCCUACGGGAGGCAGCAGUAGGGAAUCUUCGGCAAUGGACGAAAGUCUGACCGAGCAACGCCGCGUGAGUGAAGAAGGUUUUCGGAUCGUAAAACUCUGUUGUUAGAGAAGAACAAGGAUGAGAGUAACUGUUCAUCCCUUGACGGUAUCUAACCAGAAAGCCACGGCUAACUACGUGCCAGCAGCCGCGGUAAUACGUAGGUGGCAAGCGUUGUCCGGAUUUAUUGGGCGUAAAGCGAGCGCAGGCGGUUUCUUAAGUCUGAUGUGAAAGCCCCCGGCUCAACCGGGGAGGGUCAUUGGAAACUGGGAGACUUGAGUGCAGAAGAGGAGAGUGGAAUUCCAUGUGUAGCGGUGAAAUGCGUAGAUAUAUGGAGGAACACCAGUGGCGAAGGCGGCUCUCUGGUCUGUAACUGACGCUGAGGCUCGAAAGCGUGGGGAGCAAACAGGAUUAGAUACCCUGGUAGUCCACGCCGUAAACGAUGAGUGCUAAGUGUUGGAGGGUUUCCGCCCUUCAGUGCUGCAGCUAACGCAUUAAGCACUCCGCCUGGGGAGUACGACCGCAAGGUUGAAACUCAAA
rnacentral:rRNA from 1 species